GAGAGUUUGAUCCUGGCUCAGGAUGAACGCUGGCGGCGUGCUUAACACAUGCAAGUCGAGCGAUGAAGUUUCCUUCGGGAAACGGAUUAGCGGCGGACGGGUGAGUAACACGUGGGUAACCUGCCUCAUAGAGUGGAAUAGCCUUCCGAAAGGAAGAUUAAUACCGCAUAACGUUGAAAGAUGGCAUCAUCAUUCAACCAAAGGAGCAAUCCGCUAUGAGAUGGACCCGCGGCGCAUUAGCUAGUUGGUGGGGUAACGGCCUACCAAGGCGACGAUGCGUAGCCGACCUGAGAGGGUGAUCGGCCACAUUGGGACUGAGACACGGCCCAGACUCCUACGGGAGGCAGCAGUGGGGAAUAUUGNACAAUGGGGGAAACCCUGAUGUAGCAACGCCGCGUGAGUGAUGAAGGUUUUCGGAUCGUAAAGCUCUGUCUUUGGGGAAGAUAAUGACGGUACCCAAGGAGGAAGCCACGGCUAACUACGUGCCAGCAGCCGCGGUAAUACGUAGGUGGCGAGCGUUAUCCGGAUUUACUGGGCGUAAAGGGAGCGUAGGCGGAUGAUUAAGUGGGAUGUGAAAUACCCGGGCUCAACUUGGGUGCUGCAUUCCAAACUGGUUAUCUAGAGUGCAGGAGAGGAGAGUGGAAUUCCUAGUGUAGCGGUGAAAUGCGUAGAGAUUAGGAAGAACACCAGUGGCGAAGGCGACUCUCUGGACUGUAACUGACGCUGAGGCUCGAAAGCGUGGGGAGCAAACAGGAUUAGAUACCCUGGUAGUCCAACGCCGUAAACGAUGAAUACUAGGKUGUUGGGGGUUUCAAMACACUCCGUGCCGCCGCUAACGCAUUWAAGUAUUCCCGCCUGGGGAGUACGGUCGCAAGAUUAAAACUCAAAGGAAUUGACGGGGACCCGCACAAGUAGCGGAGCAUGUGGUUUAAUUCGAAGCAACGCGAAGAACCUUACCUACACUUGACAUCCCUUGCAUUACUCUUAAUCGAGGAAAUCCCUUCGGGGACAAGGUGACAGGUGGUGCAUGGUUGUCGUCAGCUCGUGUCGUGAGAUGUUGGGUUAAGUCCCGCAACGAGCGCAACCCUUGUCGUUAGUUACUACCAUUAAGUUGAGGACUCUAGCGAGACUGCCUGGGUUAACCAGGAGGAAGGUGGGGAUGACGUCAAAUCAUCAAUGCCCCUUAUGUGUAGGGCUACACACGUGCUACAAUGGCUGGUACAGAGAGAUGCAAUACCGUGAGGUGGAGCCAAACUUAAAAACCAGUCUCAGUUCGGAUUGUAGGCUGAAACUCGCCUACAUGAAGCUGGAGUUACUAGUAAUCGCGAAUCAGAAUGUCGCGGUGAAUACGUUCCCGGGUCUUGUACACACCGCCCGUCACACCAUGAGAGUUGGCAAUACCCGAAGUCCGUGAGCUAACCGCAAGGAAGCAGCGGCCGAAGGUAGGGUCAGCGAUUGGGGUGAAGUCGUAACAAGGUAGCCGUAGGAGAACCUGCGGCUGGAUCACCUC
rnacentral:rRNA from 1 species